UACGGGGGGGAGCAAGCGUUGUUCGGAUUUACUGGGUGUAAAGAGCGUGUAGGCGGCUUGGCAAGUCUGACGUGAAAUCCCGCGGCUCAACUCCGGAAUUGCCUUUAAGACUGCAUCGCUAGAAUUGUGGAGAGGUAAGUGGAAUUCCGAGUGUAGAGGUGAAAUUCGUAGAUAUUCGGAAGAACACCAGUGGCGAAGGCGACUUACUGGACACAUAUUGACGCUGAGGUGCGAAAGCGUGGGGAGCAAACAGG
rnacentral:rRNA from 1 species